CGUGUUGUUUUCGUCUUGUAGCUUCCCUCCCCCGCUAGUCUGUCUGUACUGCAUGCUCUCGGCGGGAGCAAACUGCUGCUGUUCGCUGGCUGGGAACACGGACGUUCCCGUCAUCCCGAUCCCUGCAAUGAGCCUCUGCCCAAUGUUACAGAUUUUACUGCUUAAUGUUUAAUUAAUUCACCGAAGGCUGGGGGAGGAAGCCGGUAUCACGAAGCCAAGACAACGGGGACAAGUAGACGUCACACCGGGGCUCCCCACUCCAUGGCGGGUGUCCUCCAUCAAGAGGAAGAGAAAGCUGCAAGGAUGUUGCCCCCGUCGCCUCAGCCGUGUCCUGAGGAGAGUGUACACAGACGUCCCUCAGGUUCGUCGCUGCCGCAGGUGCAGGAGGAGUCCCCACCCGGGCUGCCACUGGUUAUUGAAGACGAUGUGAGGAAACGCGGCUACCUUAGGAAGCAGAAGCAUGGGCACAAACGCUACUUCGUGCUACGCUGCCAGAGCCACCUGGGUCCCGCCCGGCUGGAAUACUACGACAAUGAGAAGAAAUUCCGCAGCGGUCAGCGAGCCGGGGCAGGUGGUCAGCCCAAAAGAGUCAUCCCGCUGUUCCUGUGCUUCACCGUUAGUCGUAGGGCGGACGCCAAGAGCAAGUACCUGCUAGCUCUUUACACCAAGGACGAGUACUUUGCUAUGGUAGCUGAGAGCGAGCAGGAACAGGAUGCCUGGUACCAGGCCCUCAGCGAGCUCAUCAAUGAAAGCAAGAAGGCCUACCUGGACACGGAGGAGUUGGAGGAAAACUACGGUACUCUCAGGCCCGGUACCGUUUUUAAGGAAGUGUGGCAGGUGAAUGUGAAGCCAAGGGGACUGGGUCAAAGCAAGAACCUGUCUGGCGUGUAUAGGUUAUGUCUUUCCAAUAAGGCUGUGCACCUGGUUAAGCUCAACAGUGAUGUGGCUUGUGUUCAUCUGCUGCUGAUGAACAUCAGACGCUGUGGACACUCUGAAAAUUACUUCUUCAUAGAGGUGGGACGCUCAUCCUCUACUGGGGCUGGUGAGUUAUGGAUGCAGGUGGAUGACUGUGUUGUGGCACAAAAUAUGCAUGAGACCUUUCUGGAGACUAUGAAAGCAUUAAAAGCCUAUUCAGAGUUCAGGCCCAGAAGCAAAAGUCAGUCCUCUGGAACCAAUCCCAUCUCCUUUAUAACCACAAGAAGAUAUUUGGGCACCCUGCCCCCAAGCCAGACAGGACUGCAGAGGCGGUCAAGGACUGAGAGUGUUUCUAGUACUCCUGCUGCUAAAAACGAUGCCUAUCGGUUUAGGACCUCCAGUGAGGGUGAAGGUACAAUGACUAGGCCCUUCAGGUCAGUCACAGGGAGCUUGAUUCAUUUAAACACUGCAAGGAUAAAUCUAGGCAAGCAGGAUGGUACUGGAAGAUAUGUCAGAGCCCCUUUUAAUUCUGGUUACCACUCCAGGUCUGCUUCUUUACCAGUCUCCCAUUUUCCAGCUGCUACAAGCCCAAUAAGUGUUUGCUCAAGCAGUCAUGAGUCUGCUUCUGACAACCUAACAAGACCCUCUAGUUCAGUUUGUGGGUCCCCAAGUGAUGGUGGCUUCAUUUCAUCAGAUGAAUAUGGCUCAAGUCCUGGGGACCUGAGGUACUUCAGAGUUAGGAGUAAUACUCCAGAUUCCUUGGGAAAUACACCACCAAUCCAGGAAGAAAAUAGCCUAAAUGACUACAUGUCAAUGAGUGCUCAGAGGCAUGCUGAUGUUAGAGAUGACUACGUGGAGGCUGAUAAGAUUUUUAGAAAAAGGACUUACUCUUCAACUAAACCCAAUAAUUCAACCUUACAGCAGAAAUCACAGACUGUCAGCUCUUUUGAUGAAGAUUCUGGAGAGAUUAACAAGCAGUUUGCCUACUCUGAAUCACCAAAGUUGAAAGAAAGCAAUCCAGAGUAUUACAGUAACGGUAUUAUAGAUUCUGUUUGUAACCAAAGCAGGAUUAAAGCCAGGGAUGAUGGUUAUAUGCCAAUGAUGCCUUCUCAUUCCUAUGACAAUGACUAUUUGCCAAUGGCUCCUUCAAAUGCUUCUCUUCCAAAAGAAAUAGUUAGAUGUCCUUCUCAGGUGGAUUCAAAGGGGUAUAUGAUGAUGUUUCCAGUUUCUAGUUCACCUGUUGGAAAUUCAUUUACAUGUUCUGCAAAAGUUAGCAAUGAGAAAGUGACUAAUGGGGGGUAUAUGGACAUGUCCUAUGGAAAUUCCUCUGCUGUAAAACAGAGUAAUGACUCUAAUUAUAGUAAUUCUAAGGGGUUUAGUUCAUAUUUUUCUCUACCCAGAAGUUUUAAAAGUCCAUCUAAGCAAAAUAUUGACCACAAUGAAUAUGUUCCAAUGUCUUCACCUGGGAAAGUGCUACACUUGGGGGAAAAUUCUACAGAUACUUGCAAAGAUGUAUUAGCAAAUGGAAUUUUUAAGACUGAAUUCAAAUCUUCCAACAGUACAUUGGAUCAGCAAGUUAAGGCUACAAGACCAACUAAACUGGCCUUAGGCAUGCGGGGUAGCAAUACCAUACCAAGGUUAUGUGAUUAUUCUGCUCCAGGUGAACCUGUUAGUCCUGGCGAGUACAUUAACAUUGACUUUAGUGAUAAAGCAAGUAUUACUCCAUAUUCACUAUCUGCUGAAGGGUCACCAUCCUCUUUGGGCUCAAGCUCUGAUCAUAGGCAAUCCCCUUUGUCUGAUUACAUGAGUGUGGACCUUGAUGUGCAGUCUCCAAAAGCUAAUGGAGAGAUGUCAAAUUCUUUAACAGAUAUCACAUCUUAUACAUGCCCUAGUGUUUCAAGAAUCCAACCUAAUGCUGAAUAUGCCAGACUGUCAUGCGGUACAGCUUGUGUCAGCCCUACUAAACACAGGAAUGAUGAUUACACUGUAAUGACUUUUAACACAGCAAUGACACCCCCAAGAUCCUAUGCCAGUGAAUCUGAAAAUAGUGCAAAAGUGGAUAGCCCUUCAUCUAUAGUAAAUAGGCUGUGCAUAGGAGAACUGUAUUCUGGCAACAGGGGUUUUCCUGUUCCUGAACCAUCCGUUGGGCCCAAAGUAAUACGUGCAGAUCAGCAGGGAAGACGGAGACAUAGUUCUGAGACUUUCUCUUCUGCCAGUACUAUAACUACUUCCUCCUCAUGCUUUACAGAGAGUGGCAAAAGACACAGCUCUGCCUCUUUUGACAAUGUGUGGCUAAAACCUGAUGAAAGUAAUUGUGAUGAGAAAGAAAAUAUGAUGUCUAGGAAUUGCUCAUCAGGCUUUCAGAAUGGAUUAAACUACAUAGCUCUGAGUGUGCACGAUACUGGUAGUUGUGAGACCUCCCCAAGUUGCCAUCCACUCCAAAGUGGGAGCAGAAAUUUGGAAAACGGUGCUUAUGUAAGCAUUGAUUUCUCUAGGCCUGACUGUUUGAAAUGUCCUGCAUCUAGAAAAGGGGAGUGCUAGUUCAUGUGAACUAUACAGAUAACAUUGUGAUCACACCUGUGGCUUGUGGCAGACACUGCACCAAUUGGCUAAAAUGCAAAUCAAUAGAUAACUAAAAAGUCAUGUGAUCUGGGGGCUGUCAGAAGAUACUUGGAUACAAAGUAAUCAGAGAUUGACUCUAUUACCAUGGAAACCAGAAGAAAGUGUCACCCUGGCCUUUCCGCUGGAAAACCAGGAUAAGGUGGCAGAAUGCAGUAAUGUAUAGCAUGGAGUAGCUUUGGAUUUCACAUGGAUGCAUUACCUGCUUUCACACACACAGAAUAAAUGUACAGCCAUUCUGAGAAGCUUAUUUUAAUGCGUUGGGAAAAGAAGCUUUUUUUUUUUUUUUUUUUCAGCAUAGUUAUUUUUUAUUGGAAAAAAAUAUACUUUAUGGCAUGUUUUACAGUUUGCAUAUGAGGUAACUGCUGUGUUUUCACAAAGCAGUUCUGACUUAUAAAAUGGAUCAGCAAAUGCAUCUCUUUGGCACAAUCUUGUCCCUUUUUAAAAAAAAAAAAAAAAAAAAAAAAGUCAGAUCUGCUUCAUAUCUAAUUUAUUUUUUUUAAAUGGUGCCAUAGUGGUAUCAGGGGGAGUAAAUUAUAUGUUCUAACGAGAUUCGUUAAAAGGAUAGUAACUGUCGACUUAUUUGUUGAUCUAUAUAUAAGUUCUAAUUUACUGGUACAAAAGAAAAUAUUGUAAAGAUAUUAAAUAUUUUCAAAGUUUUAAAUUUUUUUUGUUUGUAAAAAAGAAAAAGUCAAGUCUAUGUAUUUACUUGAUCUAUAUACUAUGAAAAGAUGCCUCAUACAAUGAACAAAGAUGCAUUUUCUAUGGUACAUGAAUUAUCUUUUUUUUUUUUUUUUUUGUAUCUGAUCUUACGUUUACAUAAAUCCCAAUUAAUUGUUUUUUGGUCCUAAGUUAUGGAAUUUUUUUGCACCGUUUAAGUAAUGCACUUUUAUGUCCAUCAAAAUGACUAUAUGAGAUUUAUUUAAUGUUAAAAGUACAGUAUUAACAUUCAGAAGUGUGGCAUAGACAUACUGAAAUAAACCUGAGAUAUUGUAUAAAUGGCUUCUGCCUUAAAAUGGUAGUUUUAUUUUUUUUGUUUGUUUGUUUUUGUUUACAUUCCUCUUAAAGAAAAAGCCCUUCAUGCAACAUAAACAAACAUGUUUGGAAUACAAUGGAUUAAAUAAAUGGCUUGUUGGUGCUUUCAGAAUAAGGAUCCUGCACCAUAAAGAAACCUACAUUUACAGCAUGUUUUGGUGGUUGAUUAUAUUGAUGCAUUUUCAUUUAUUCUUUCUGUGGCAUUGUAUCACUUAGUCUGCCUGUGCUCCCAUUGACAAGCUGUGAACAAUGUCUUAGAGCAUAAACUGAUUUGCCCGUUCAUAUUUGUAUACCUCAAGGCCAGUAUAGAAAUGUUUAUAUAAAGGUUAAAGUUGCAUUUGAUCGACAAAAUUUAAUACUGCUUAAAAAGCUUUCAGGGGAGCAUGGGUUAAUCAAAGCUUGACCUCAUUCCUUUGGGGACCAUCCAGGAAAUAGGAUAAGAUCUAUCUUAUUAGUUGUGAAAUAAGAUGGAAAAUAACUAUUUCAUGUCAUCUUUUCUAAUAUUGUUGACAAAUUGCAGAUUUGGCAAGUAACAAGCCUACUUUGUUUCAUUUAAACUUCAAAGUAAUUUGUUCUAAAAUCCUGGGUGUUCUGUGUUUUUUUUUAUUCUUUACAAAACAAACCUACACAUUUUCUGCUUUCAUUAUAGUAGCACUAAUUUUUAAAGGCAUUUACUAGGCCUUAAAGUUAGGUUUUUGACCAGGAGAUGCAGCGCAUCUUUAACUUAACAGAUACUUCUCUCUAUGUACCAAAAAUGUAAAUUAGAAUGCAGAGCAAUUCUGCGCACACUGAUUCAAUAGCAAAUUUCAUCUAAGUCAUUGUUUCGACAGCACAAAAAACAAAGUAUUUUAUAUAACCUGUUUUCUUGAUGCCAUAGAGCCAACCUUUUUAUUACCUAGGUGAUUUCAAGGCUGCCACUUCCUCUAUUAAUAUUGAUAACCUCAACCUUUACUAUACGCGAGUUAAACAGGUACAGCAUAAAAUAUGCAAUCUUAGUUUACAAACAAAACUAAUUUAUUCAGUAUUUAGCUGGAACAUAACUUUGUGUAAAGCAUAUCACUAGAUAUAUUAUCUUCCAGCUGACACUUUAUGCUGCUGUAUAGUUUAAAAUUACCAAGGAUGGGAGAAAUGUUCGUGUCCUGUAAUUUUUAAUUUCAUAUUGGAAAGUUAUUUUGUCUGUAAAAAUUUAAUAAAACAUAUGGUUGGUACUGUU